rnacentral:rRNA from 1 species
GAUGAACGCUGGCGGCGUGCCUAAUACAUGCAAGUCGAGCGAACGGACGAGAAGCUUGCUUCUCUGAUGUUAGCGGAGGACGGGUGAGUAACACGUGGAUAACCUACCUAUAAGACUGGGAUAACUUCGGGAAACCGGAGCUAAUACCGGAUAAUAUUUUGAACCGCAUGGUUCAAAAGUGAAAGACGGUCUUGCUGUCAGUUAUCGAUGGAUCUGCGCUGCAUUGGCUAGUUGGUAAGGUAACGGCUUACCAAGGCAACGAUGCAUAGCCGACCUGAGAGGGUGAUCGGCCACACUGGAACUGAGACACGGUCCAGACUCCUACGGGAGGCAGCAGUAGGGAAUCUUCCGCAAUGGGCGAAAGCCUGACGGAGCAACGCCGCGUGAGUGAUGAAGGUCUUCGGAUCGUAAAACUCUGUUAUUAGGGAAGAACAUAUUUGUAAGUAACUGUGCACAUCUUGACGGUACCGAAUCAGAAAGCCACGGCUAACUACGUG